UGCCGAUACAUUAAAAAAUGCUAAAUAUCGGCCGGCCGAUAUAUCGGUCGACCUCUAAUUCAAACCACCCUUUUAUUCAACUGGUGUUGAUUGUUUCGGGCCAUUUCAGGUGAAAAUAGGCCGCCGUUUGGAGAAAAGGUGGGGGAUCCUUCUUAAGUGUCUCACAACCCAAGUGGUCCAUCUGGAUCUCCUCUGCAGCUUAGAUGUUGAUUCCUUUCUUAUGGCACUUCGGAGGUUCAUAGCUCGACGUGGACACCCAGCUGAGCUUUAUUCUGAUCAGGGGACUAAUUUUAAGGCUGGGGAAAGGGAACUCCAUGAGGCCUUUACAGCUAUGUCAGCCGAGCUGCAGAAUCUCCUUGCAAAGCGUAAGAUUGCUUUCCACUUCAACCCUCCUGCUUCCCCGCACUUUGGUGGGGUUUGGGAGAGAGAAGUUCGAUCAGUUAAAGCGGCCUUAUACAAGACGGUGGGGGCCCAGUCUGUCACGGAGGAGGUGCUCAGAACAGUACUACUCGAAGUGGAGGCCAUCUUGAAUUCAAAGCCCCUUGGAUAUGUAUCUUCUGACGUGGCAGACAUUGAUCCUAUAACUCCUAGUUUCCUCUUGAUGGGGCGGCGGGAUGGUGCCCUACCUCAAGUUCUCUAUCCCCAAACAGAAUGUCUGAGUCGUCGCCGAUGGAGAUAUUCUCAGACCCUGGCAGAUCAGUUUUGGUCAGCCUUUAUAAGACACUUCUUGCCAAAUCUGCAAGUUAGGAAGAAGUGGCAUUAUGAGCUACCAGGAAUUUGCAAGGAUGCGGUGGUGCUGGUGAUGGAUCCACAGCUGCCGAGAGCUCACUGGUUCAUUGGCAAGGUGUAUAAGGUGCACCCCAGCUUGGAUGGACAGAUAAGAUCUGCUGAGGUCCAGAUAGGACAGAGGACUUAUGUUCAUCCAGUGGCAAGACUCAUUGUGCUGCCUACUAUCCCGGAGGAGAAAGAGGCUGUUGCUUCAGAAGAUUAAAUAGUCUAACCUUUCAGCCUUUCUUAAGUAGCAAAUUGAUGUCCAAUUUGGGGGCGGCUGUACGAAAGGCUGACAGUUUUGUAGCCGCACGAACCUUUUUUUGAAUGCACAUCGGGGAGUUUGAAUGUUUUGCGGAAGUUAGUCCGUGUGCGUUAAUGUCCAGAUGUGAGUAUAACGUCCUACAUUUAAAUAUGUAUUUGUAUUGCUGUAAUUUAGUUGUCUGUUUGAGUACCUGUUAAGUUUAUUGUAAUUAUCGAGCGGUGUUUAUUGACGGGUAUUUGCAUUUGUUUAAAGUGCAAUCGCGAGUCCGUUAUUAUAUAAACUGUUAAGUACACUGAAUAGUAAUAACUUACAAGGGUUAAGUAUUUAUGCAGCUAUAACGGGGAGAUAUGUGUAUUCUAUUUGUGUUGGUGCAGUAUAUAGUGAAACUUGCAUUUGUAUUAGUGGUGUUGUUUUACCGUUUAGGAUUUUAGUAUGUAUAGGUAUGUCACAAAAAAUGUCAAAGUUGUUGGAUUUUUACAAAAAUAGCACCAGAAGAAACUAUGUAGUAUUAGAAUGUGAUUCUUUACGGACGCGUGUUUUCGUGGAGAGAUUGUAAUUGCGGUACUGUUCCCUCACAGACCACACAUUCAAUCGUCCAACUCCACUUCCCUGCUCAUAAUCCAUGUGAUGUCCCACCGAAGUUUGUAUCUGCUUCGCAUGUCCUUCAGUAAAGUUCCCCUUCUGUACACGUGGGUGUGUUCCUUGUGCUCUGACCGGCAUCCCAGGGUGGACACAACCUAAUUCUCAUAAGAUCUAUACAGUCCUUUAAAGGCACGUCCCAACAAUCAUCGAUACAAAUGACUGGGCCAUUUCUCGGCCAGAGUUGAGGUGAUUUCAUAUUUUCGCCCUGUUUGCUAUAGUUAUAUUUUUGUUUCCUUUUUGUCCAUGAAAGUGAAUCUAAGAAAAUGAAUGACUGUAGUAUCAUUUACUUUAAUAUUCUCGCUGUCCGGAAUCGCCACAGUGCUCCCAUUUCUCUCAAUGUACAGCACCUAGCCCCCUCGGGGGGUGUGGGGGGGGUGAAGAAUAGCAGGCACUGCCUGAAUUUCCCCGCAGUCCCUUGGGGAUUCCCAGGCUGACACAGGGGUGGAUAGAGAGCUGGUUCCUUUUUCUCUGAGGUCAAAGAGGGUCAAAGCCCAGGGGAAUGCUGGGAAAUUCCAAAGCCUUGCCUUCUCUAUAAUCCCUCAUCAUUUGUAAGUAUUACAUAGGCGUUACUUAUGGGUGGGACAGGUGAGACACAUUCCACACAAUAUUCAAAACAGUGGUGAUUGUCCCACCUAAAUUUUUUCCAGGAUUUUGCGCUUAGAUAUGUAAAUAAACUUGUUGGGGGAAUUCGGUUCUCAAGUAAUCUACUGACCAAGGGGAAAAAUCGUCUAGCCAAUGAUUUCAUUUGCAUGCAUAUAAAAAAAUGUAUAUAGUCAAUACUGACAUGGGCACAUAACCUAUAAAUAGAUAUGAGUUAUGAAUAAAAAUAAGGUGAGGGGACAGAUUUGACUUAGUCGCUUAAUGGAUUCGUCCCUCACCCUCCCAAUGCUGAAAACACAGUGAUAUAUUGUUGAUAUAUUAUACGCAGGAAUUUUUCUGAUCAUCAGUGUGUUUUAAUUUUUAUGCAGCGAAAUAUGACAUAAUAUCAUACAAAGAUUUUGAAUUUUUUAAAUGUACAUUUGACCGCGGAGGGUCAUUGUGACGGUAGCAGGGAUGUGCUUCCGUUUAAGGUACAUAAAACUUAAGAGCGGAAGUGUCUGCAGAGCAUUUAACGAGUUUAUAGACUAUUAGGUUACUCUGCAUGUCACUUUUUACUUGCACAUAAAAACAAAACACAAUGCAAUGUAGGAAGUAAAAUAAAAAAUGACUAUGCAUUGGGGAAGAAUGUGCAAAUACCCAGAGAGGUAGUACAGCACUGAGAAAGUGCAGAAGUGGAGUUUUAACAAUAGUGUGCAAUACAGUACGGUAAAACUUUACUGAAGGCCAUGUUUUUAGUCAUUUCUAAACACAUUCAUAACAAUUGAUAAUGCAUUCAUAUGGCAUAACAGUAUAGCCAUGUGUAUUAUGCAUUAUGAAUGAUUUAUGAAGCUCUCAUCUAUAAUGCACUACAGAUACCUAUCAGCCUCUGAUGAUCAUUCUUGAGGAUGCAGCUGAUAUUUAGAGACCUAUGUCAAAUCGAAAUACCCUGUUAUAAUCAAAAUGUACUAUUUCAAUGGUUCCUGACUGAGGUUCAGUAAAAAUAUGAAGACUGAAAUUAUGGGCUUGAUACCACAUUGUUCCACAUUUUCCCAUGAACAUCCCGCUUCAUCCCACAUCCCACUUUUAAAAAUUUCACUUUUAAAAAAUGUUCACUGUCCCCUCCAACCUGACGAGUUUUUAGAUCCCAGAAACAUCUUCGGAUUUUUUAUUUUUUUAAAAUCUGUAAACAAAUAAAUGUGCAUUUUUCAGUAUAUUAUGGGUAAAUAAACAUUUUUUCAGAUAAACCAAGUCGCUCUGUUUAUUUUCUCAUAUAUAUGGACUGAAAUAUGUGAAAUUAGACAUGCAAGUACUUUUGUUUCACGAUUGGUCCCUGCAUCGUCGCAUUUUUUUUCUGUUGUGUCCCUAGUUCCCUGUUUGUCCAGCAGGUAUUGCUGGUCAUCCUGUUCUGCUCCAUGUGUUCUCCUAGGUCUUGCCCCAGUCGAAUUCCUCGCAGUUUCCCUUGUUCCCUGGGUGCCCUGUGGAUGAAUAGGCUGAGCAUGCAGCUGUGAACCUUGCGUCCCAUAGUGCCGUGAGUUUGGCAUGGGACUUCGAACAUUUUUAAGCAUGUCUGCCCCGGAACUCUGUUUUUGUAAACCACACAUUAAAUCAUGUUUGUGUUUGUGUUCUGCAGUUUGUCUUUGCCUUUAGUGCAUCUGUUCCUGGUUAACUGUGCCUGCAUGUGCUGAGUUUGUAUUUAUGUCCUGUAGUCUUUGUAUCUCCUGUGUUCCUUGUAUUUCUAAGUCCCUCUUCUCCGAGUCAUGGUUAAUGGCCAAUGCCUGUCCCUUGUUGAGAUCUCGUUAUCUGUGUGUAAAUGUCCCUGCCCACGGUCUCUUUUUCUCUGUUUGCGACCUGCUGUGAUCCCUGCUCCAAGUCCUCAUGCUUAGUUCAAGUUAGUUCUUGUGUUACUUGCCUGUCUUUGUUUAGACCCCUCAUUGUCCCUUUACUUUCUAGUUCUUUUGAGUUCAGUCAAAAAUAAAGUUCCCUUUUGUCCCAUAAGUUGCAUUGCAAACCAUGACCCAUGGCCCAAUGUAACAUAUAUAUGAAAGUGGAAGUAAUCAAAAAUGUGUAUGUUUGGUCAGAAGGCUUGUCAGGGUUAUGAUUUGAUUGGUUUUGAAACUAUACUGCUUGAUAAGAACUAGGUGCUUCACAGCACUGAGAAUAAAGGCUGUAGCUGAAGACGCAAGUGCUUACGUUCUCCUGCAACUGCUCACCAAACAGGUUGGACAGGUGAGAUCUCACUUAAGCCGCAGUGACACAGGAUCAGCCCGACGUCAGCUUGCUCAUAAAACAGGUAAGGCAAGUGAGAUCUCGCUUCAGCUGCAGUGACACAGGUGCAGCCCGACAACAGCUUACCAAUGGUCCAGAGUUGCUUCCAAAAAUGGAGCCGGUCGGAAAUGCUUUUUACGUUGGAGGGUCGUCUUGGAAAGGGUAUAUGAACAUCUUGCCGGCCCUCCUCCCUCUUUCCAUGAUUGCUUUGGGGAGUUUGCACAUCAAUGAUUGUCCCAAGCAGCCCUACAUUCCCAUCUACCUGCUGGUGUUUGGGGUGGUCGGCAUAUUACUACAGGUGCAGUACUUUCUUGGCAAAUUCUGCACCCAGUGCCAAAAUCCAGUUGCGGAGUGGCUGAGCACCGGCUGCCGUUUGCUGCUGUGCUUGUUUGCUGUCUGCUGGCUGAUUACAGGCAGUGUCUGGGUAUACAGUAUUUUCCCACCAAACUAUGAAUCUCCUCGGAAACCAGAUUACUGUGAGAAGACUAUGUAUCUGUUUGCCUUCUGGUCCAACAAUGCCAUCUACGUCUUCACAGUCUUAAUGAUUAUUUAUAGUGCCUGUGGUUUUCUUUAUAAAGCCUUGUGUUAGACAGGUAGAAACCACAGCAGGUGAAAUCCCACCCACUUUAUCCAUAAUUCCUUUUGAUGGAAGCAUGAGAAUGGAUUCUGGCCUCCGUAUCCCACUCCAUCUCCUGGUGACUUCUGUCCAGUCUACAUUUUAGAAGAACACUGAUGCUUAUACCUUCCCUGUAUGACCGACUGAUGACGGGAUUCACACAACCUCAUGCUGCUGUUUCCCUUGAGGGAGAAGCUUUAAACAGAUAAUGUCAGCCAAUCCUUGCCUGUACACCACUUCAGGGAAAAGCAUCUGCUAUACUGUAUAAGUGUAAAUGCAGUAUACUUUAGAUAUAUACUUUUUGUUCAGUUUUAUUAGCCUAGCAGCCUGCGAAAUAAAUGUCAAAUGUCAGCUCUGGCUAAUUUAAUCUUUUCUUCAUAGUACUCUAAUUUCAGCUGUAGUGUCCAUGUGUAAUCUAAUUAACCUGAAUUAUAUAUAUUUUGAACUGAGGUGAAAUGUCCCCCUCCCCCUUUUGUAUUGUGUAGUAAUUCUGUUUAUAAAUGCUGGUACAAUGCAUGAAACCUUUCUGAUUAAAGAACAAUAAACACACAUUCAAGCCAACAGUGCACCAGGUCUCCCCUGCUUCCGUACAACAACCCUUAACUGGUACAGUGGUACCUCGGUAUAUGGAAUAAGUCCAACUUGGUAUACGUCCUGUUUGGACACGAAAAAUUUUGCUUUGUAUACGACCUUUGUUUGGAAUACGACUCUAUACGUGCUAGAACUUGUAUGGGUCAAAAUGAGUCACGACACCGCGCGCUGCCCUUGUUUACUGUACCUCUCUCGAGACAACGCCACCACAGCCCACGAGCGUCAGUACGCCAGUUGCUACCAUUCAGCGAACAACCCGCGUUAUAACUCUCUGUGGAUUUUCACGUGAUUUUGUGUUUUUUCACGUAAAUUUUUAGUAAAUUCAUUAACCAUGAGUUCUAAGGAAGUAGGCACUCAACUCCUCUCAGCAAGCGCAUACAGAUUCUCCGCUACUCAAAGAACUCAUCUCAAAAUGCCUGCAGGUUCGUGACCUGGCCUACUGUCCCUACAGCCGCUUUCCUGUAGGUGCUGCAAUAUUAACCGUAGGGGGCGCUAUAAUCACAGGCUGCAACGUGGAAAAUGCAUCUUACGGACUGACAGUGUGCGCUGAGAGGACAGCAGUUCAGAAGGCUGUGACAGAGGGACACAGGAAAUUCUCUGCCAUCGCGGUCACAUGGUGAGGAAUCCUGCUUAGUAAAUGAGGUGGUAAACCUUUCACUGCCAAAACCAAAACAUGAUGCUGAAGACUGUCUGAAGAUCCAGGGGUGACUCUGUAUUUCUAUCAGGGAAUACCAGGACACUUCUGAAGGGAUACAGGGACACUUUACUGAAUGGUGUAUAACUCUAAUUGCAUUUUCUUGUAUAGUGAAGUCUAUGGAGUAAAAAGUGGGUGAUUGACACUAAACAUGUAAGAGGUUGUGUGCGAUUCUGAUGUGGAUGUUAUGGUCAUGGGAGGUUUACAAGGCAAGCUGCAAGUGACUUUUCCAUAAAGGAAGCAAGAAAUACUACUUCUCAUUUACAUUCAAUAGUUUAGCCAACACUCAACAGCUAGUCAUACUAUAAGUAUUGUUUACAUUACACUACAACAGCUCCCUCUGCUGUUCCUGGUAGGUAUUAUCUGUUUUCAUAGCAUUUGCUGGAUCUCCAUGAGCUUUAAAUCAGCGUUUACCAGUGCCGUCCUCAGGGACCCACGGACAGUUUUUUCCCCUCCAAAUAAAAAUGUGGACUGUCUGGCAGGGGGCUCGGAGGGAGCAAAAACGUGGACCAGCUGUGGGUCCCCGAGGACCGGAUGGGGAAACAGGGCUUUAAAGUAUUUCUCUGAACUGUCAGUGCACUGCAAUUAAGUAGAUUUUUUUUUAUCAUUUUUUGUGUGUUUCAAAUCAGUAUUACUACUUUGAUAUAAGACUUGCCUUUACCAGAGAUUUAACAACAUAUAUGUUUCAUAUUUACAUCAUGGCCCUAAAGUAAGUACUGAGAAAUCAGCUGUCUGGCCUUUGUAUAAAACCUAAGAGGCAAAGUAAUUAUACAGCUUUCAACUUAAUGUGCAGUUUUGAAACCCUUAUAAUAGAGUAUAAUAGGGACAGCACACACAUGUCUGAACUCAUUGUGGUGUGUGUGUU